UUAUUAAACUCAGUUUAAUAUCUGAUACCUUCUCUAUCUGAGAACUCUGUAUUAAAUGGAUUUUUGGAGCAGGGAGAUGGAAGAGGAGCGUAUUCCAUCCAAUCCACGCAUUAACCCGAUAUUGCAGCACUUCUGGGAAUGGUGC
rnacentral:snRNA from 1 species